AAACAAAAUCAAAACAAACAAACGUAUAAAGCAAGAACAGAAAACAACUCUUCAUCUCACUUCCUCUCUGUCGCAUGAGUAGUGGUCGUAGUAGUAGAGGUUGGAGCUGAAGAAACGUGUUCUUUGUUUCCUUCAUCAGUACCAAGCCCUAAAGUGUGCUUAACCGCAUCAGUAGCUCCCAUAGCCAUUUGCUUCACUUGCUCACCGGUUUGGCCCAAGAUCCCACCGGUCUUGUUCUUACCAGCUUCUGCAGUCUCCUUGGUAUACUCUGCUGCAUCUUGUGCCUUGUUCUUAAUUGUUUCUUCUGUCUCUGACAUGUAGCUUCCCGUUUUUUCCUUGGACUCUUGAGCUUUCUGUUGAGUUGUUUGUGCGGCUUGAGAUGCCUUGUCUUUAGCUGAUUGAGCUGUUUCAUGGCUCUUUUGUUGGGCUGAUUGGGCUUCUCCUUGAGUUUUGUCCUUACCUGCAUCUGUUUUUUCCCUCAUCGUUCUCAUAGCUUGUCCUGUCUUCUCCUAUGAUUCGAUAUUGGAUUUACAUUCAAACAAAGGUUAAUAGAGUAAUUAACUUAAAUAUGUAAUUAGAUUGUGGCUAUUGUGUUAUAGUCACUCCUAUUCAAUCUGUCUAGCUCUUAUUCUUUGAUAAUCUGAAUUAUUUCCAAAAACAAAAUAAUCAGCAUAGACACAUUGGUUGUAAACAGUCUUUUGUUGUUAUAUUAUCUAAUCAAGCAAAAAACAGACCUAUGCUUUUCUUUAUAUAAAAAAGUUACUCAUGAGAAAACAUGUCUGCAGAAAUAUAAACAACAGACUGUUUUAUCAAUUAAACAACACGAUAUAUUAUCGUAAACUAGUGGCUUCAUUCAAUUUUUUAUUUUUGACCUAACUGACACCAUUUUUAUCUUACUUUAGUUUUUGCAAAAUCUUAUAAACUAUAGAUCAUUUAGUACUUUACUACUUAUAUCCCAAAAACAGAUAAAUCAUUUAGUAUACCUGAGUCUGGCCUCUGGUCUCACCAGCUUUGAAACCCUGUUCUUGAUGAGAAGCCAUUUUCUCUCGUCGAAAAAUUCGAAACCAAAAUAUUUAAUGAAAACACGAAUGGCUGAUUGAUGAUCAAAAGCUAUUUUUCAGAACCUGUGUUGGAAGAUAUCUCCGACUCUUAUGUUUGAGACAUUUUAUACCAAGUCUUUGUCGGCCCGAGAACAAGAUACAUGUUGCAGAUUUCUCGAAACGUGUUAAACCACGCGUCGCGAUUAGGUUAGAGACGAAGUUCGAAACUUGGAGACAUGUGCGAGUGUUGAAUGUUAGGUUAUCUUGUUUUUGAUGACAACCUAUCAGUAGAGGUGCCACGAAAUAAUAAAAAAAAUAUGUUACGGAAGAUGCUAGAUACGUGGCGAGUCACGACUCACGUACAUGGAUUUCAUUUACUUACUGCAUUACAGUAUUUAUACAUUAAAAUAUUAGGUAGUUACGUUUCUUUAAUAAGAAAACAAAGACUUAUUACUACGCUAAAAUUUUUUAUUCGAUCUGUUGCUCACCUCAGUUUUGGAGCUCAUGUAAGUAUUCAGUCUCUGCUAUUCUGUUAUUCGGAGACAAACUCCAUUUUUAAUUAUUCCCUAUUUUUGGGUUCAAUGAUAUUCAGAUAAAUAAGAAAAAGUUAUAUGAGUGAAUUGCUUUCCAUUUUAUUAUCCAAAUUUCAUUAUUAUUAUUACCAAAUAAAAAUUCUUCGGAUUAUAAAGUAAAAUAAAAUAACAUAAAAUUACUAGUAAAAUUUACCACAUGACUUAGACCAUGCAAUAUGUAGAUUUAAAUUCAAAUUGAGAUACAUCAACGACACUAUUACAAAUCUCUUGAUUAUAUAUACAUGUUCUUAUCCGAUUAUAAUCAUCAAUGACUAUUUUAAUGAGAAUUUGAUUACGUACAUUUUGAAUCAUUACUAGUAAUGUUAUUUCAUCAAUAAAUUUCUGUUUUAUUAUAUUUUCACCACUGCUUACAUCUAGUAGUUGAAUCUACCAAAAACAUUCACUUAACAUGGCGAAUCAAGACCUGAUCUAUUCAGGUCCAGACUUAAUCAGAACCAAAUUUAUAAACUAGGUGUAAUAAAACUGUCCAAGUUUGGAUAUGUCUUUAUGUGGAUCAAUGCAAAUUUACUUUUGAAGUUCAGGAGAGUUUCUAUUUUAUCCAGAUGUUCUUUAGAAAUGGUUCAACUGCACCAGUACGCAACAGAUCAGGCAAAUUUCUUGAUGCUUCCACUUUCCAUAUCCGACACCAAAUAGAUCGAAUAUGAUCAUUGAAUUUAUCUUUCUGAUUUACUUGAACCAGCUUGAUUGGAGACAUUCUACACAGACUAAAUACUUCAAAGAAAACACAAAUUCAUGUCCAAAAUAUUUAGGUACAAGAAACUUCAAGUUCUUCAUACUAAACAAGACCGAUGUAUAAUGACCAUUUUACUCAAUAAACUUUGAUUAAUUUCACAUUUAAAUUGUUAUUUAUUUAUUUAUUUUUAUUUAAGCUUGUAAAAACAUAUAUAGAAAAACUAUAUAAUCUCGUAGGCUAUAAUCUCAAUCAUCAUUUCCCUUGUAAUUAAUACUCAUGAAUCAUUUUAUUAAUAAUCAAUAAAUCAAUAUGUUUUCUUUUUUAAAGCUUCGCUUUUCUGUUUUAUUCUCUAAAUUUCACAAGUGAAAUUAUUUAUUCUUUUGUGUUCUUGUUAUUUAUAGUGUGUGAAUCAAUCCACUUUUGGUCAUGGGAGGAAAGCCUUGAUCCAUGCGAGGAAAAUCACUUAGAUCAAGUUCUUUGUCCAUUGAUAUAUUGGGACCUUACACAAUCUAAGUUUAUUAUAUAUCAACAUUAUCUUCAUCCAUCAAUAACAUUAAAUCUUUAUGUGCUAUAAGUUUAGUGGCUUCUAAUUUUACAUCAAAAUCUCGCAUAGGAGAAGAGAUCGAGCAAGCUUUACGACUUCUUUGCUUCUAACGAUGAAGAAGAAAAAUGUAUAUAGUGAUGACAGAAAAAAUUCCAAAAUUUAGAAGAAACUAUAUGGCUAUUAUCACUUAACAUUGAUGGUGAAGUUACUGUGCUUCGGAUACCAAUUACACGUAUAGAAGACAAUUUAGAAUUCUUUAAUUUUUAAAUGAUUUGAAAACAAAAGACCACAAUAUUUUUUAAAAAUCACCAUAAAUAAAUGAUGUUGGAAAAAACCACUGAUAUGGAAAUCCAACAAAAGUAUUUUUAAGAAAUAAAAAUAUAGAUCAUAUAUUAUUAGAUUAUCAUUGAAAUCUUAAAAACUUUAUAUUAAGAAAUAAAAAAAAAGCUGAAUACAUAAUUUUUGUGACAUUUUAGAUGGGAAGUGUAUUAAAGUGUUUAGACAAAACUAAUUAGUAAUAAUAAGAUAAAAGUUAUAAAUUCAUUAAAACAUAUUUGAUGAGGUGCUAAGUGUUUUCUUUUAUUAUAUAUAUAUAUAUAUAUUUGGUAUUCUUGUGCAUCUAAUAUAAUAAUAUCUAUUGAUUGUGUUCCACCCAAUUAAGUUAACUUUUUUUGCUUUAAUUUGUCAGUUUUGUGAAAUAAUUAAAAAUAUUAUUAAUUGUUUUAAAUAAAUAAUGCCUCUGAUAAAGAUUUUGUUUUAAAAACAUUUUCCACCCAAUUAGUGAAAGUAAGAUUUCUAACUUAAUUUAGGGAUAUGGUCUAUUUUUUUCCUAAAAAGAAAAUAAGUAAAGACUCAUUUGUUGUAUAAAUAACAAUGUCUUGCCUAUCUUCUCUUAUAUUUUCAAUCUCUCAAAGCUUUCGAGAUAAAUUAAAAAAUACGGUUGAAAAACAAGAAAUUCUUCUCGUCGAAAAUGGCAUCUGGUAUGUUUUUUUCUUGUUGUGAUUAUUCAUGCUUCUUCCAUAAUUAUCAAAAUUGCUCGACUAUUUACUCGUUACAUAUUUUCUGCGUGAAACUAAUUCGUAAAUUUACGUAUGAUAACCACAUAUAUAUACAGGGAGUAGAGUUAUGAACAACGUGUACAUUGUUGAGCCCAUAGGAGUUCAUAAAGCCACUAUAGUCUGGCUGCACGACAUCGGGCUCAAAGGCGUCGAGUAACACUCUCACUGUCUCCCAUGCUUUGUUUUGUAUUGUUUUAUAUGCUCUUUUUUCCCCUAAAAUAUAUGCUCUUUUGUUUUCAAAAUUCUUGAAUUUUUUACAUUUCCUCUCUAUUGUGUUUUCUUGUUAGAUACUAAUAAGUUCGUUUCACUAAAGUUGUAUAUACAUUAUAUAUUAUACACACUAUAUAUAUUUUAAUUAAUCUAUUAUGUAUGCAGCUCAGUUCAGCCUCUGCAAAGUUUAGGUCUUCCCAAUGUAAAGAUCGAUACAGAUACAUGUGUUUGCCAUGAAUUUAAUUUCUUUUUAUAUAUAGCCACAAUGGAAACUAUGAAUUUUCUAAUUAAAAUAUAUGAUUUGGCAUAGAUAAAAUGGAUUUGUCCGACUGCUCCUACACGCCGUGUUACUUCUUUGGGUGGAGAAGAAACCACUGCAUGUACGAUUAAUUGGCUAUAGAUAUACAUAUAUUAUUUUGUUUCUUCUAAAUCAGUAUUUGAUGUCUCUAAAAUAUUACUAAUUAAAAUGGAAAACUAAUAAUACAGUAUUCAUAAUCCUUUAUGGUGAAUCAGGGUGCGAUAUUACAAAAGUUUCAGAGAGCAUGCAUCAUGAUUUUGAAGCUUUAGAUAAUGUGAAUUCAUUUGUUGCUGGCCUUUUCUCUUCCGAACCAGAACAUGGUAAUUCGAAAUUAUCUACACUUAACAUGCAUAGUUUAGACUAUCUAUACAUCAAAUACAUAUAUAUGAGUAAAUAAUUAAUACUUUAAUGUUGAUUUUGGUAUAGUUAUUAAAGGUGUGGGAGGUGUUGGCUUGGGUGCAGCACAAGCUCUCUACUUUGCGAGUAACUAUGCCUUUGGACGAGUCACCAUAAACCUAAAAAUUGUUGUAGGGAUCAACGGUUGGCUUCCUAGCUGGACGUAAGCUCCUCAAGCCCUGAUGUAGUUUUUCACAAAAUUUUAUUUAACUAUUCAUAUAUACCUUUUAAUAAUGGAAAACCAAAAUCGAUCAAUAAUCUUGUAGGACCUUACGAAAUGAUAUGUAUUCUGCCUUUGGGACUUUUGUUCGUGCCGGAUCGCUAAUCUUACUUACAUAUGGGACUUGUAUGUUUUAUAAUAAAUUAAAUUAUAUAUAUGUUUUCUUUACAAUUUAAGUUAGUAUUUAGAAAAUAAUCGCUAAUUCUUGGGGGUUUUUUUUUGUUGUUGUUGUGUCACUUGCAGCUGAUGAUAUAGCUUUCUCAGCAUUUGCACGCAUCUGCACUGACUCUCUUCACUUGGCUGGAUUUCCAAUCAUUCACAAACAAUGCGGAGGGUCUAUAUUCAUAAAUUACUUUAUUUAUUUCACUCAUUUAUUUUUUUUAAUUAUUACCAUCUUUUAACAUAUUGUUCUUCUCUUAAUUAUGUCAUGUGCAGGGAUCACGUCAUGAAUGAUCUUCGCGUAACACUCCCGCAAUAUCUUAGGCUCUGAUGAGGAUAUAGCUAAACUCUGCAUCCUGAAAAGAAUAUGGAAUAAAACUAUCGUAAAACUAUAGCUUUUAUUUUUAUUUCUUUGCUAUUCAUAAAUUAUAUAAUUGUUAAUGUAUUUUUUUCAUUUUUAUCCUUCAAAAACUGAAGUUUAUUUUCAGUUUUCUGUUAUAUCAUAUAUCAUAUAAAAAGGUUAUUAUAUUAUCAAUGGUGAACUAACAAAAGAGGAAGAAGUAAAAUUAGUGUAAUAACAUAUUGAUUUAAAAAAGUGGGUUAGUGGUAUAAUAUAGACAUACAUAUAGUGUAGUACUACCAAAAUGUAACAUAUCCAAUUAAUUAACUAUCAAUUGAGAUUGUACGUAAUGGUGUGCCAUACAAACUACCAAUUAAUCGCUCUUUUCCCUCUCUUUUGAUGUGCCCUAUUCCCUCUUUUUGUGUCUGCGCCCUUUCUUCUCUAAUAUUGUCUAUUGAGAUUGUACGUAAUGGUGUGCCAUACAAACUAUUUAUACUAUUUUUAGAUUCAUUUUUAUUAUUUUUCGUAACGCAUAAUUCCAUUCAAUAUACAUUUCUUAUAAAUGAUUUAUGUAUGACAUGACAAUAUUUGUUAAAAUAUUUAGAACGUGUUGUAUCAAUACAACAUAAGCUAAUAUUGUUGUGUUCACAUGUGUAUACUAAUCAAAUUCAGAAUCACAACAAAUAUAAUUCUAUUCAGCGGAUAAAACAAGUCUUCAAUUAACCAAACCAUUACAUAACAAUGUACGUAUAAACGGAUUUAAACUCAAUAAGCAACAACGAAAAUCAACAUGCAGAAUCACACAACACAAAACAAAAUCAAAACAAACAAACGUAUAAGCAAGAACAGAAAACAACUCUUCAUCUCACUUCCUCUCUGUCGCAUGAGUAUUGGUAGUAGUAGAGGUUGGAGCUGAAGAAACGUGUUCUUUGUUUCCUUCAUCAGUACCAAGCCCUAAAGUGUGCUUAACCGCAUCAGUAGCUCCCAUAGCCAUUUGCUUCACUUGCUCACCGGUUUGGCCCAAGAUCCCACCGGUCUUGUUCUUACCAGCUUCUGCAGUCUCCUUGGUAUAUUCUGCUGCAUCUUGUGCCUUGUUCUUAAUUGUUUCUCCUGUCUCUGACAUGUAGCUUCCCGUUUUGUCCUUGGACUCUUGAGCUUUCUGUUGAGUUGUUUGUGCGGCUUGAGAUGCCUUGUCUUUAGCUGCUUGAGCUGUUUCCUGGGUCUUUUGUUGGGCUGAUUGGGCUGCUCCUUGAGUUUUGUCCUUAGCUACAUCUGUCUUCUCCCCCAUCGUUCUCAUAGCUUCCCCUGUUUUCUCCUAAGAUUCGAUAUUGUAUUUAAAUGGGACAAACGUUAAUAAAGUAAUUAACUUACAUAUCUAAUCAGUCGAUACAAAAAUACGAAAUCAGAUAAAUACUUGCCUUUUAUAAUGAAGUUACACAUUAUAGUAAUAUCAUCAAAAAACCAAGCAAUAGAUUGUUUUAUCAAAUAACACGCUAUAUCGUAUAAUAGUGGCUUCACUCGUUGUUAUUUUUUUACCUAAUUAAGAACAUCAUUUUAUU
rnacentral:lncRNA from 1 species